rnacentral:lncRNA from 1 species
AAGAGAGUAAAAAAUCGUGUGAGAGAGUGAGAAAUAGAGCCUGAGAGAAAACUAGAAAAUUGUGAGCUUUUGGAGAAAAAAACCGGAGAGGAAGUUGAGUGUAGUGUGUGCGAGUGUGCUGUUCAAGGGAGAAGACGACUCCUCUUAUAGAUAAGCUUUUUCCCUUUUGUUUUAAGUAGGUCGACUUUUCCUUUUGAUUAUUCACACAUUCCCUUCCUCCCAAUGCAACAAUCCUUCUUUUAGCUUUAAUUGAAGAUUCUUCUAUAACCAAAACCUUGUCGAGCCGAAUUGUUUCAAGUAAGCAUAUUAUCUCUUCGAUUCUUGUUUUUUUUUUUUCCAUUCUUUUCUUGAUUUCCAGUUUUAGGAUAGUUUGUUUAGGUUCUUGGUUGAUUUUAAAUCGAAUUCUUGCAGUUAAAACAAUCCAGAAUCUGCAAUUUCCACUUAAAAACCCAAUUGACACAGCAAUUAUUGCUAGCAGUUCUUUGUACUUUUUAAGUCGAUCUACUCAUGCGUUUGGACCAUUU